rnacentral:rRNA from 1 species
ACGAAGGCAGCAGUGGGGAAUAUUGGGCAAUGGGCGCAAGCCUGACCCAGCGACGCCGCGUGAGGGAAGAAGGUCUUCGGAUUGUAAACCUCUUUCAGCAGGGAAGAAGCAAGUGACGGUACCUGCAGAAGAAGUCACGGCUAACUACGUGCCAGCAGCCGCGGUAAUACGUAGGUGGCGAGCGUUAUCCGGAAUUACUGGGUGUAAAGGGUGUGUAGGCGGAGAAGCAAGUCAGGCGUGAAAUUUAUGGGCUCAACUCAUAAACUGCGCUUGAAACUGUUUCCCUUGAGAGUGGGAGAGGUAAACGGAAUUCCUGGUGUAGUAGUGAAAUGCGUAGAUAUCAGGAGGAACACCGGUGGCGAAGGCGGUUUACUGGACCACAACUGACGCUGAGACACGAAAGCGUGGGGAGCAAACAGGAUUAGAUACCCUGGUA